AGGAGCCGCCGCCAGCACCACCCUGGGUCUCAGUUCGGGCCUGGGCGAAGGGAGAGAACCACCCUCUGUUGGCACCAAAAACCUCAAGGUUUUGUAAGAAGCAACGGGCCUGUGACUCCAGUGUUUGGCCCUGGCCAGGAAAAGAGUUCUGCGCACCCAGUGCUCACAGGCCGCCUAUGGAAGGCUCGCAUCACACCUGCUCUCAUUUCCCCCUCAUUCAGCCUCUUGAUGUGCGUGUGUGGACCCUCAUGGAGUGAGAGGAGAGGAAACGGAAUGCUGUCAGGCUUUUCACCUCCCAGGCAGGCCGGAGCAAAGGCUAGAAGGCUGUGGGCAUGGCGGGAGAGGAGGGGGCUAUCUGAGUCGGGAUUGUGGAUGUUUCAAUAGGGAGGAAAGGUCAGGAGGCAGGAAACACUUGUUCUCUGAUCGUGAGUCUAGAUGCAAAAGGGCAAGGGUCAUUCUGCUGCUCCCCCCCCCCCCCCGCCCCAUUAUGUUAGUGUGGUCAGGAAAAGCAGUCCAUUAGGUUCUGCUUUGCCAGCCUCUUGGCUCUUCACAGGGCCCCUGAACCUCCCUGAGAAAGGACACAGUGGACAGUGAGGACAGCUUGAUCUGCAGCCCCACAGCCCAGAUUUGCCUCAGCCCCCGCUAGCUGGCACCAGCUUCGUUCCAUGAGACCAUCUGCUGAACGGCCCCCAGUGCCAUGGCCAGCUGCCAGCCCCCAGCGCCGGCCAGUCUGGCCUUACCCUCCCGUUGGUGCCUGCCUGCCCCCUCCCCCAGCGCCGGACCGCCCCAGCCUGGAGCCCACCUACCCUCAGCCCGGGCCACCCCCUUUGCCUCUCAGGAAUUUUGCCAGGAUGGGGCACAGGAGCUCAGGUUUUGGGGGGAAAGACCCAAAUCCAGAGUAUAAGGGGACAGGGGCUGGGAUCCUCGGUAUCCUGGGAUUCCGCCAGUUUCUGAGGCUUCUCUGAGAGCUCAGCCCCGCCUUCAUGCCUGCCCUCACCCUGUCUUCCCCUUCCCCGGGGCUGGGCGGCACGGGUAAGCUGAUCUCCACCCCACAAAUACCACCAGUUGCUUCAUCCCCAGCAGGCACUGAGAACAGGGGUGUGCGGGAGAGGAUCCUUAAAAUAAACUCCUGGGCAUCCCCCUCACCAGCUGACUGGCUUUCCGGAGCCUUGUGGCCUGUGCAGCCGCCCACCAGGCCUUCCUCCACCAGGAGAGCAGAGCGAGGUGCCCCAGACAGCUCUGGAUGACCCGGCCUUCCCACGAUGCCCUCUGGCCCAGCCCUGGGCCCCACCCGCCCAGACUGAUGGAUGCCAAUGCUGUCAUCGCAGAAGGCCGGAUGGCAGGUGCUUGGGACAGGGGCAGGUGCCCUGGGAGGGCAUGUACAGUAACUGUAAAUAACCCUCUUCCCUGCCCAGGAACGCAAACUGGGCUCCACUCUCCCAUCACGGAGCCACGGAACCUCAUUAGCAGGACAGCAGCGGGAGAGGCCCGAGAGCCUCCAGUCAGACUGCCUCAGAGGACUCUAGGGGACCAUUCUGCCUGGGGCUCCUAGCAAACCUAUUAUUUAUUUUAUUUAUUUAUGUUUAUUUAUUUAUUUAUGUGAUGACUUUCUCUCUCUCUCUCUCUCUCUCUCAGUUGCCAUAAGCAGUAUUCCACUAUUUAUUUAUUUAUAUGGUGAGGGGUGUGUGUGUGUGUGUGUGUGUGUGUGUGUCAAGGGGGGGGGUUCUAAAUUAUUUCUGUGCAUCUCGCUUUUCUCCCUCAUGUCUUUGUGGAUGGACUCUGAGAGGUCGGGUGUUGAGCAGGGAUGUUGGCUUUGUCCCUGCAGGGGAGACCCACAGAGCUCUAAGUCCAGACAUCCUGGAGUUGGCAUGGGGGCCGGGGGGAGCCCUUCAGACCCAAGGUCGUCAUUCUGUCAGUGAGAUUCAAGCUUGCACCCCAGCUCCCUGCCCACCAGCAGCCUUGCUGAGGGAUCAGAAAGAUGAAAAACAGCCACGAGGCUUGUGAACUAAGGCCCUGAAAUGAUUCAUUCGAGUCACAGCUCACGUGGGGGCUGGCAUCUAAAGUUAGCCUAACCUAACUGAGGCAAAACUUGAACAGUCAGAAAUCUCGGUGUGCGCGCUUCAGAGAGGCACCUGCUGGGAGACAGCUGUAGGGUCUCUGGCCAACUGAGGAGGCUUUGUUAGUACUUACUGAAGUAGCCGCCUUGGGUUUAGGUGGGUAAAGUGGUUGAAGUGAUGGCUGGUUUAGUACCUGGAGCGAACUUGGAGUUGACAAGGAGAGAGUAGGGCAAGAAUUGAGCGGAGUGAGCGGGGAGGAGAGGCACCUGGUCUGGUCCUUCCUCCGGGGCCUCCAGUAGUGGGCAGGACCCCUCCCUCCCUUUCUUGAGCAUACCUGGUUGGUUUCGAGUAAAUAACACAUGCUUCAGGCCUGAGCGGCAGCUCAUUUCUCCCCAUCCCCUGAGGGUUUUCCAGGCAGUGUCCACCAUGCUAAGCAAAGCAGAAGCCUUUUACGGUGAUCUCUUGCUUGCCAUCAGAGGAGAGCACGAAGCUAUUGCAGAAAUUCAGGAAAGGGUGAAAAAAAAAAACAAAAAGAUGAAAGGAGCAGCUGGAAGUUUCCCCCAAGAAGGUCAUUUCGGGGCCCGUGAAGCCAGGAUCUAGAGGUCUUUAGCAAUCCUGCCUCUCUAAGAGCAGGGUCUCCCUGCUUCCCAGAGAGGGCCCCACCCUUUCCAAAGUCCCCAUUCACUGCAUUGAAAUCACCAGCCCUCUGGUACAGCUUUGAGUUUGGUGAGACUUCUGCAACAUCCCUGGUUGUUUCCCUGGCAAUGUGACUUUACCCAGCUCUAACUCCCAGCCAGAGGAAAGUUUGCAAGAAGGCUGCUUAAAUGCCUGCUGGGGGCUGAGGGAGGGAAUAUCUGUCCCUCCCUCUUGCCAAUUUGCUUCUCGAAUUUCCCGUACAGUUCCCUUCUUACGCAUCCAAAAAUAAAACGCUUGUUGGGGUCCUGGUAACCGUGCUUACCACCAUGCUUAAGCAGAGCCCCCAGUUCCUGGCAUCAGUGUUCCUCUGCAUACUUCGCCCACACUACCUUCUGCUUCCAGGGAUUAAGACAAAUCGCCUGAAACCUGUGUGUGGUGUGCACCUAUUUUAAAAGCCAGCAUUGGUUGGGGGGGGGGGGGUGGUAUGGCUUGAGGCCCAGCAAACAUUCAGCCUUCCUGGAUGAAUGAACCUGGAGAGAUCACUCCAUUUUUGCAGGCCAGAAAUUACCUUCUUUGAGAAGUGGGCGAGUUUUUGAGAUAUAAUCCAGAAUAGUGACCUGAGGCCUGGGAAAUUGUCCAAAGACAGAGUGAGUUCACCAGGAUUGAGAAGAAAAAGGAAAACAGUCUCAAAUAUUUUUAGAAGGUUCUCAAUCAAUAGAGUAAAACUUAGUAUGUGAAUUCCCUUCAGUUAAAUUAAGAAAGGCUUACUUACUCCCUCAAAGCCCCCGUCCAGGAACAUUCUAGUUCAUUGAGGUUCGACUGCAUUCUUAUCUGUUUCUUCCCUUCCUUGAAGGAAAGGCGAUCUUCCAGAAGCCAAAGGAAAUUAAGAUGUUUGAAAGACACAAGGGUCUGGGUCUCAGAGAGCCCCCAUCAUCCAUUAGCUCAGAACCAUCCUCUUUCCCAAAGGCUUUGCCUGAAGAGGGCCGACGUUUGGGUGCUCCCAAAGGUUCCCAAGCACUUUUCUUCAAGUCCCACUCCCAUCAUCGCCUCUGCUGUAUUUUCCACGAAUAGUCAGAACAGUCUCACGAGCAUGUGUCUUGCCUUGCUUUGCUCCUCAGCUAAAUAGAAAGUUUUGAUUAAAAAACAAACCAGGAUUCCUCAAAAUGCUGCCUCCUCCAUUAGCCAGCCGCGUGAGCCGAGGAGCUCAGGCUACCUCCAGCGUCAACUGCAACCUCUUCCUCACUUCUACACCAGUGAGCCUGUGAUACAGACUCAGCAUCUCCCCUCUGUGGCUGGUGCUUUGGGCUUUUUUUUUUUUUUUUUUUUUUUAAUUUAUUGAGGGUUUUUCUUGGGGGGGGGGUUGUCUUGCAUUGUAAAUACCAUGAUGGGGGCUCCCUCAUCAGAACAUGGCUUAUUUAAUAAUUUAUUCCCUAUUUAUUGAGUGGUAUCAGGAGAGGAGAGGGACCCCCUCUUUCCCUGAAUUGUUACUGGAAACUGGUCCAUCUCCUAACUCUGGGUGCAGCUGUCUGCAGCAAGGGGCUUUAUCGCCCAGGUAAUGAGUGCUAGAAUCACCCAGCAAAUUGGAAUUGGCAGAAACGGAGUCUUCAGUCAUACAAAUUAAGCUCAAAUGGAACUAAAACACUGGUUAUCUCCGGGAAAACCUCAUUUUGAUGGAAAUUAAUUGCGGAAUAAAAUGUCUGUGCACGAACCAACUUCUAUUAAAAAGUCACAACUCCUUGGGAAAAAAAAAGAGAGAGAGAGAGAGAGAGAAAGUUGUAAUUCCUUUUCUCUGGCCGAGAAAAGCUAUGCCUCAUCUUCUAACAAGUUGAGCCAAAGAGACUGGAACAACAUUCCUUUGUGAUUCUCUGGCCUGUGUGUGUGUCUGUCUGUCUGGAGGAAAUGGAGUGGGUCUCAGGCCUCAGUGUUAUCAUCUGUAAAAUGGGACUUGGCCUAAGUGUUCGUGGCAGAGUAGAGCGCCGGGGUUCUGACUCUGAUGCUCUGAGCUCCAGACUGUCAGGUGUACGGUCCCUGGUGUCUUCUGCCAUCUCUGUAGGUCGAAGGAUGUCUCCCAAGGAAGGAAAUUAAAAACCAGGGCAUGGACUUCAUUUGUAGGGAGAGGUCAUCAUAGCUCAGUCCUGCAGUCAAAAAGGAGAGGCCUCCAGGUGCUACCACCUGAUAGAACUCGUGUUGCCUGGGUCAGAGAAGCCCUCUGGUAGCUCGGUCUUCUCUCCAAGCCUAGCCGUCCAGUUAUCAAAGGAGAGACCAAGAGGGCUUCACUGUCCUCUGGAGUUCACCACUGUCCUUCAUGUCAGGCCGUAUUUUGUAUGGUUGUUCGAACAAGCCAGGGACAUGGGUCGUGCUGCCAUUUUUCAGAUGAGAAAACUGAGGCCCGGGAAGGGGGAACUGGUAUGCUGAAACUCCCUUGAGCUCAGAGCCUCCUGGCUCCGUGCCCCACUCUCUUGGGAGCUCUUUUCUUGCCAGGCCCCUGCUAUGAGGACUUUGUGCAGCACUUCCUCUCCCAAUUCUUGGCUGCUCCCUCAAGCAGUCAUUGGUCAAGGACCUAGCAGCACCCACCAGCAGGCUUGGCGCACCCCAAGGCCAUCUCUCCACUUCGGGGCGGGGCUGGAAGUCCCAUCUGGAAAACCCCAAGCCAGGGGACCCACCACCAGCCCAGCUCGGCCUAAGCAGCCAGCCUCUGCCUGGAGCGUCUACAUCAGAGAGGGGAGAAGCUCCUGUGUCCUCCAGCAUCUCGGGACCCUGUCUUCUACCCAGUGACAGACCGGCCGUGGCUUGUUGGAUUUCUGGUGUCCACAGCUAAACAUAACCUUCCCGGGGUUCCCGAUUUUUCAGCCUGGACGAAACAUGUCUCUGUUCUAAUAAAAGGUUCCAUGGUAUGGUGUUCUCA